rnacentral:rRNA from 1 species
AUGAACGCUAGCGGCAGGCUUAAUACAUGCAAGUCGAGGGGCAGCAUGACUGUAGCAAUACAGUUGAUGGCGACCGGCAAACGGGUGCGGAACACGUACAGAACCUUCCUUCGAGCGGGGAAUAGCCCAGAGAAAUUUGGAUUAAUACCCCAUAGUAUAUUAGAGUGGCAUCACUUUGAUAUUAAAGAUUUAUCACUUGAAGAUGGCUGUGCGGCUGAUUAGGUAGUUGGCGGGGUAACGGCCCACCAAGCCUUCGAUCAGUAACUGGUGUGAGAGCACGACCAGUCACACGGGCACUGAGACACGGGCCCGACUCCUACGGGAGGCAGCAGUAAGGAAUAUUGGUCAAUGGACGAAAGUCUGAACCAGCCAUGCCGCGUGGAGGAUGAAGGUCCUCUGGAUUGUAAACUUCUUUUAUAUGGGACGAAAAAAGGGUUUUCUAACUCGUCUGACGGUACCAUAUGAAUAAGCACCGGCUAACUCCGUG